rnacentral:rRNA from 1 species
UACGUAGGCAGCAAGCGUUGUUCGGAGUUACUGGGCGUAAAGGGUGUGUAGGCGGUUGUUUAAGUUUGGUGUGAAAUCUCCCGGCUCAACUGGGAGGGUGCGCCGAAUACUGAAUGACUAGAGUGCGGGAGAGGAAAGUGGAAUUCCUGGUGUAGCGGUGAAAUGCGUAGAUAUCAGGAGGAACACCGGUGGUGUAGACGGCUUUCUGGACCGUAACUGACGCUGAGACACGAAAGCGUGGGGUAGCAAACAGG